GGUUGAUUUAAAGCAUAUAAGAGAAGUGUGUUCAUGAUAAUUUUGUGUCCACCACAGAGCAUCAAGCUCUCCUUGCUUGCCUUGUCCUAAAGUCCACCAGGAGUGAGAUCUUCAAAGCUCUUCAUGCAAACCCCACACACAUCAACACUGGGAAUAGGUGCCAGGCUCCAGAUACACCAGAAUACCACUCCAUAUCUUGCAAGACACUGCUUGGAGCUGAAUGAAGAAGCAAAAGCAAGGAAGGAGGUCUAAGAAAAUAGAGCUGCUUUCCAUUUUCUUUCAUGUCUGCUGGGGAAAACAGAGAUGGUGUUCUGUGAAGGAUCUAGCCAGAGUUCCCUGCUGCGAAGCACUGGAAGUAGCUUCCUAGAAGUCUCAUGGAUAUUUAGUCUGUUUUCAGAAUUUUGGGAAAUCCAAUUGAUUCUUGGAUUUUGAUCUGUCAAAGAUUGGAGCAGUGCAUCUACUGAAUGAAGGUAAUAAUAUUUUUACUGGAGAUUCAAGCCCUGGUGCAGAAAGGAGACAGGGACUUCUCCCUGGAGA